UCCUCCGUGGCGCAAUUGGCUAGCGCGUUCGACUGUUAACUUCACUCUGGUGAAUAUUCGACAUCGAGAGGUUGGUGGUUCAAGCCCACCCGGAGGAG